CUAAUCCUGACUCUCAAACUAGCACAGCUGAAUUGGAUAUUGAUUAUGGGACAGAUGGGACAAGCGAGAAUGCUCAAAUAGAUAUAAAUGCUCCUAUUAAUGUUCAGGAGUCAAUGUGUGAACCAAUGCAGGAGUCAUCAACAUCUUACCAACCUCAUGUCGAUGUGACAGAAUUUCGCGGCAAUGUGACAGAAUUUCGCGGCAACGAGCUUGAGUAUCAGGUAACUAUGAGAGAACAAUCUGAGCCAUCAUCGCUUUCUCGUGUCAACGUAACAGAAUUUCCCGUCAGCA